AUUGAACGCUGGCGGCAUGCCUAACACAUGCAAGUCGAGCGAGCGGCGGACGGGUGAGUAAUGUCUGGGAAACUGCCUGAUGGAGGGGGAUAACUACUGGAAGCGGUAGCUAAUAACGCCUACCAUCAGAUGUGCCCAGAUGGGAUUAGCUAGUAGGUGGGGUAACGGGUCACCUAGGCGACGAUCCCUAGCUGGUCUGAGAGGAUGACCAGCCACACUGGAACUGAGACACGGUCCAGACUCCUACGGGAGGCAGCAGUGGGGAAUAUUGCACAAGGGGCGCAAGCCUGAUCCAGCCAUGCCGCGUGUGUGAAGAAGGCCUUCGGGUUGUAAAGCACUUUCAGCGGGGAGGCGUUACCCGAAGAGGAAGCACCGGCUAACUCCGUGCCAGCAGCCGCGGUAAUUC
rnacentral:rRNA from 1 species